rnacentral:rRNA from 1 species
UUGACCGUGCAAGGUAGCGCAAUCACUUGUCUUUUAAAUGAAGACCCGUAUGAAUGGCAUAACGAGGGCUUAACUGUCUCCUUUUUCUAGUCAAUGAAAUUGAUCUCCCCGUGCAGAAGCGGGGAUACGCACAUAAGACGAGAAGACCCUGUGGAGCUUCAGAUGAAGGAGUGGCCCCUGUUACCCUCCCCUCAGGGGGACAAACUAAAUGGUUUCCAUUCCAUUGUCUUUGGUUGGGGCGACCGCGGGGGAGCAAAAAUCCCCCAUGUGGAAUGGGAAUAUAUCUCACAAGUAAGAGCCACAGCUCUAGCGACCAGAACUUCUGACCAACAAGAUCCGGCAUUGCCGAUCAACGGACCGAGUUACCCCAGGGAUAACAGCGCAAUCCUCUUUUAGAGCCCGUAUCGACAAGGGGGUUUACGACCUCGAUGUUGGAUCAGGACAUCCUACUGGUGCAGCCGCUAUUAAGGGUUCGUUUGUUCAACGAUUAAAGUCCUACGUG